rnacentral:snoRNA from 1 species
AUCCUUUUUGGGUCAUAAGUGCAAUGAUUGAGUGUUCACGUAGUUGUGUGAGAUGUGCCUGUCACUAAACCUUGUUGCAACAUUGGCAGACUACUGUUUGAUG